GAGUCUUCUCCAACACCUCAGUUCAAAAGCAUCAAUUCUUCAGUGCUCAGUUUUAAAAAUUGUGAAUCACUAUGUUAUAACUUACAACUUACACCUGUAACUUACAUAAUAUUGCACGUCAACUAUACCUCAAUUUUAAAUAAUGAAAAAAGCAUGAGCUGCUUCAUUUUGUAGGCAGAAAAAUAGAAGAUCAAGAGGUUGCAAUGGGGCCAAGACCAAAACACUCUUGGGGGCUUCUCAGAUCAGGCACAUUCUCUCAUCUCAGCCAUGUGGCUGUGUCAAGGGCUUCACUGCUCCUGAAGCACCAAGUUUCCCAGAUUUACUCAAGUUCAGAAUCAGAAGGAAUGUGAAAUGCUUCACGGAACAGAGUCACUCAGGACACUGGUUACAAAUGCAGACUCCUGGGCCCAGCCCAGGGAACAUACUGAAUCUGAGUGACUAGGGGUUGGGCCCAGGAUUUGGUAUUUAUAAUAACUGUCCCCACCUNNNNNNNNNNNNNNNNNNNNNNNNNNNNNNNNNNNNNNNNNNNNNNNNAUCACCCUUUUAUGCCAAGACCACACACCAGAAGGCUGAAUCCAUAGUGUCGCAACCCAGAGAACCUCCCUCCGGGCAACAUUCUUUCAGCAGCUUGUAAGACACCACAAGCUGUCCAAGUGGACAGCAUGGAGAAGGAUAGCCCUCAUGGCAUUUGGAUUUUAGAGCAGGGAAGAGUCCAAACCCCAUUUCCCAAAGAACGGUUGCUUCAACAAAAGGCUGAGCGAGAAGCUAGCAAUGCAGCAACGGCCACAAUUAUGUUCCAGCCAGAGAGAUGCUGCCCAAGCAUAUGACAUACACCCUAGUCAUGGGUUUGACUUUUGCGGGAUCUCUGAUCUGGCAUUUUCUAAGACCAGAUCACUUUCCCUGUAUCUGAGGGGUAACAGGAUACUUAUAAACAAAGCCCAUAAAAUUCCGCCCUAAGGGGACAGAAAUUCUUGAUCCCGGUCAGCUUAGCCACACCUGCUAGCUUAAGUCUAGUUUAAGUCCCUGUCCCUUGGUUUCUUUAGGAGUGAAACAGAAACUCUAUUGAGGGCUUCCUCAAAGGGACACAGCCAGGAGAAAGAGGCAGGGUUUGCAGAAAGCUGAAUGGAGCACAGAAGAAAUCUGAGCCCACCCUCAGAUGCCCAUAUGUGAACAGGCUCUGGGAUUUAGGUGCCUCCCUUGUCUGCAUGCAGGAGACGAAGAAGAUAUGGGUUUGACCUCUGGGUCAGGAAGAUCCCCUGGGGGAGGGCAUGGCAACUCACUCCAGUAUUCUUGNNNNNNNNNNNNNNNNGACAGAGGAGCCUGGUGGGCUGCAGUCCAU
rnacentral:lncRNA from 1 species